CGUUGCUACGCAAGAGCACUCUAGCGAGGACUGCCGUUGACAAACGGAGGAAGGUGGGGACGACGUCAAAUCAUCAUGCCCCUUAUGUCCUGGGCCACACACGUACUACAAUGGCGGUUAACAGAGGGAAGCAAUGCCGCGAGGUGGAGCAAAUCCCUAAAAACCGUCCCAGUUCGGAUUGCAGGCUGAAACUCGCCUGUAUGAAGUUGGAAUCGCUAGUAAUCGCGGAUCAGCAUGCCGCGGUGAAUACGUUCCCGGGCCUU
rnacentral:rRNA from 1 species